rnacentral:rRNA from 1 species
UCAGGCCUAACACAUGCAAGUCGAACGGGGAAAGUAGCAAUACGAGUACUAGUGGCGCACGGGUGAGGAACGCGUGGGUAAUCUGCCUUCGAGCGGGGGAUAACCAGUCGAAAGAUUGGCUAAUACCGCAUAAGACCACAGGAUCUGCGGAUCUAGGGGUCAAAGCAGCAAUGCACUUGAAGAUGAGCCCGCGUAAGAUUAGCUAGUUGGUGAGGUAACGGCUCACCAAGGCAAUGAUCUUUAGCUGGUCUGAGAGGAUGAUCAGCCACACUGGAACUGAGACACGGUCCAGACUCCUACGGGAGGCAGCAGUAGGGAAUAUUGCGCAAUGGGGGCAACCCUGACGCAGCGACGCCGCGUGAGUGAUGAAGGCCUUCGGGUCGUAAAGCUCUGUUAUACGGGAAUAAGAU